rnacentral:rRNA from 1 species
CCUACGGGGUGCUGCAGUGGGGGAUAUUGCACAAUGGGGGAAACCCUGAUGCAGCGACGCCGCGUGAGUGAAGAAGUAUUUCGGUAUGUAAAGCUCUAUCAGCAGGGAAGAAAAUGACAGUACCUGACCCAGAAUGCCCGGCUAACUACGUUCCAGCAGCCGCGGUAAUACGGAGGGUGCCAUCGUUAUCCGGAUUUACUGGGGGGAAAGGGAGCGUAGAGGGGUAUGUAAGUCUGGAGUGAAAGCCCGGGGCCCAACCCCGGAACUGCUUUGGAAACUGGGUAACUGGAGUACAGGAGGGGCAGGCGGAAGUCCUGGUGUAGCGGUGAAAUGCGUAGAUAUCAGGAGGAACACCGGCGGCGAAGGCGGCCUGCUGGACUGAAACUGACGUUGAGGCUCGAAAGCGUGGGGAGCAAACAGGAUUAGAUACCCUAGUAGUC